rnacentral:rRNA from 1 species
AUUGAACGCUGGCGGCAUGCCUUACACAUGCAAGUCGAACGGUAACAGGUCUUCGGAUGCUGACGAGUGGCGAACGGGUGAGUAAUACAUCGGAACGUGCCCGAUCGUGGGGGAUAACGGAGCGAAAGCUUUGCUAAUACCGCAUACGAUCUACGGAUGAAAGCGGGGGAUCUUCGGACCUCGCGCGGACGGAGCGGCCGAUGGCAGAUUAGGUAGUUGGUGGGAUAAAAGCUUACCAAGCCGACGAUCUGUAGCUGGUCUGAGAGGAUGAUCAGCCACACUGGGACUGAGACACGGCCCAGACUCCUACGGGAGGCAGCAGUGGGGAAUUUUGGACAAUGGGCGCAAGCCUGAUCCAGCCAUGCCGCGUGCAGGAUGAAGGCCUUCGGGUUGUAAACUGCUUUUGUACGGAACGAAAAGGUUCUUUCUAAUAAAGAGAGCUCAUGACGGUACCGUAAGAAUAAGCACCGGCUAACCUACGUG